rnacentral:rRNA from 1 species
UACGUAGGGGUCGAGCGUUGUCCGGAGUUACUGGGCGUAAAGCGUGCGCAGGCGGCUCAUUGCGCCCAGCGUGAAAGCCCCCGGCUCAACCGGGGAGGGUCGUCGGGGACGGGUGAGCUUGAGGGUAUCAGGGGUUGGUGGAAUUCCCGGUGUAGUGGUGAAAUGCGUAGAGAUCGGGAGGAACACCCGUGGCGAAGGCGGCCAACUGGGAUACACCUGACGCUGAGGCACGAAGGCGUGGGGAGCGAACGGG